rnacentral:misc_RNA from 1 species
AAGUUUAAUUUAUACACAGUAAGUGUGUGCCAAUGCACACCUCAUCUCACGGCCCUCAAGUUACUGAGGGUCAAAGUGCAAAGCUCAAUAGAUGCACAAUUCCUUGUGCACUAGCAUAUACAUACAUAGAGAACUUAUGAAAGCCGAGUUCUAGCUAUUAGCCCACGGUAUUUGCAGGACUCAUACUCUUCCUCUUUUCCCUAAAACUGCCACUCAACCUGGGAAGACAACAUUGUACUGACCUCAGCGAUUUUGCCUCACUUUUGUACUUUCCUACAGGGGUGCUCUUGCCACUAGACACCGGCACAUGAGGUGUGCUAAAUGUGGAUUUAGGUGGUAGCUGUAGACCAGCUGCCUGUAUAUUUUCGUUGUCUUCAGCACCAUGCUCAUUCGGGUUCCGGUUUCUUGAGCUUUCUUUGAAAAGCUCAAGUAAAUUCUUCCUCUUGUGUAUUGGAGAAGAUUGCGGUAUAGAAGCAGAAGUUCUUUCUCCAAAAGAGGCUCGAUUACCUAGCAGAUUACCGACCAACAAACCUCGAUGCACAGGUGUAUUUCCACACGAAGGAGUAUUUCCAAGUGAUGGUGUAAAAUCUCCCUUGACACUAAAGAAGUCAUCAUCACAAUCUGACUCCAACCAGGCCUGGGAAUCAAAAAAGGCCUCCUCCUUGCUACCAUAGUCGCUAAAACUGUUAAGCGGGAGCACCGGGGAACGCUGAGGUUUGAUUUGAGGAAGAGAGAGUUUGAUUUCAGCAGUAUCAAGGGGUUUAUCUUUGAUAGGUGAGGGACUCACAAGCUUGUCAGAUUUAGAUGCAAAGACAAAACGGAGCUUCAUUGCUGAUUUCGGAUCUUUAUGCACUGAAGCAGAUGAACCCAUUGCUAACAGAAAACACUUGAUUUGUACCACCGAGAUGCCUCUAAGAACCUAGAUGAAAGUCGUAGGAGAAAAUGCAGUAAAAGGGAGCGCUACGCUUCGGCAAAGAAGGGACAAAUUGUUGAAAUGCCCGAUAGCAGAACAGAACAGAGUGGAGAGCAAA